rnacentral:rRNA from 1 species
AUACGGAGGGUGCAAGCGUUAUCCGGAUUUAUUGGGUUUAAAGGGUCCGUAGGCGGAUCUGUAAGUCAGUGGUGAAAUCUCAUAGCUUAACUAUGAAACUGCCAUUGAUACUGCAGGUCUUGAGUAAGGUAGAAGUAGCUGGAAUAAGUAGUGUAGCGGUGAAAUGCAUAGAUAUUACUUAGAACACCAAUUGCGAAGGCAGGUUACUAUGUCUUAACUGACGCUGAUGGACGAAAGCGUGGGGAGCGAACAGGAUUAGAUACCCGAGUAGUCC